rfam:Gossypium arboreum cultivar AKA8401 contig_16701_1, whole genome shotgun sequence.
AUACCAUGGUGAUGACACUUUUGUAAUAAUUCUUUAAGCUGCUCCCAAGUCUCAUAUAAGGAUUCAUCAUCAAGUUGUUGGAAUGUAGAAAUAUCAAUUUGAAGCUU